GUGACAGUCACCGGCCACCCGGGGCGGCGGGGGGACGGGUGGGACGGAGGGGACAGAACACUCUACUUUAAAUUAAUAGGGUGACGACGACGAACGACGACACGCCAGACCGGCGGCCGCAUCCCCCGAAAAACGCCACCUCCUGUCUUCCUUUUCCGUGAGACAACAGAGCCGUCACCCGUGCGGGAGCGACGCGCUGAGGCCCGAGCCAGCGACACAGUGUGACGUCGCGCGUGAACGACCGCUGUGCGACUGCGGAAGCUAAACUGUUAUAUCUUCUGAGGAGCGUGGUGACCAACUCACCAGCCCAAAGGGUGAAGAAGAAGACAAACAAAAUUACGGACAAUGCAAUCUAACUUAAGACAGUAGUCAUACACCGUAAUCUGUUUCCUGAACGCAUCGUGUAAAGAUCAGUAACAAUUUGUGUAAAUUCAGCAAUUCUUUAAGUCAGCAUGACUUAAGAGGCAUCGCUUUCAUCACAAUGAAUAAUUUAAAGAAAUAAAGCCCAGAGUAGGCCUAGACAAAUAACGA